rnacentral:lncRNA from 1 species
GGAGAUUGAAAGAGCUUUCUGAAACAUCAAGAAUCGUCGAAAUCCGAUAAGAAUUGAAUUUACUACGAAUUUUACAAGACAGCUGAUUUAUGAGAAUAAAGCCCUGCGAAUUUUUGUAAUAAAAACGAAUAGAAGGUUGGGUGGCUCUCAAAAGUGUAUAUAAAAGAAUGGAGGAAUACAAUCAAUAUAUACAGUCUUGAAACCCUAAUUCUAA